rnacentral:hammerhead_ribozyme from 1 species
GCACUGCUGACGAUUCUCAAACAGGACGAAACAGCUGUCCAGUGU